rnacentral:rRNA from 1 species
GCUACUACUUCCAAGGAAGGCAGCAGGCGCGAAAAUUGCCAAACCAACUAAGUUGGAGGCAGUGACAAUAAAAUAUCUGCGGGUUCUAUGAAUCCGACUGGAAUGAGAUGGAUGUAAACAAUCCUACGAGUAUCAAUUGGAGGAAAAGUCUGGUGCCAGCACCCGCGGUAAUUCCAGCUCCAAGAGCGUAUAUUCAAGUUGCUGCAGUUAAAAAGCUCGUAGUUGGGUGGGGGAUGAAAGGUAGAAGGAGAAGGGGAACCGGAUCUGGAAACUUUUUAUCCAUUUAUGGAGAGUAGCUUGWUAGAUGACCUUAACUGGUUGUUUGAUAUAGCCUCUCCCGUUGACCGUGCUUAAAUUCGCGUGUUCAAAGCAAGCAAUUUCGCUUGAAGAGUCUAGCAUGGGAUCAUAAAAUAUGAAGUUUACUCAAUUGUCUAUCUCUUGAGUAUGACUUAAUGACAAAUAGGGGCAAGCGGGGGCGGAGGGAUUCCGUUGUUAGAGGUGAAAUUCUUAGACCAACGGAGGACCAACAGAAGCCAAAGCGUCCGUCAAGGGUGUACCCAUUGAUCAAGAACGAAAGUUAGGGGAUCAAAUACGAUCAGACACCGUAGUAGUCCUAACCUUAAACGAUACCGACCGGGGAUGGGGAGAGGUAAUACUCUUAACCCUUCCUGUACCCUGCGAGAAAUCAAGAGUGUUUGGGUUCCGGGGGGAGUACGGUCGCAAGGCUGAAACUUAAAGGAAUUGACGGAAGGACACACAAGAAGUGGAACCUGCGGCUUCCAAUUCGACUCAACACGGGAAAACUUACCAGGUCCAGACAUGGGAAGGAUGGACAGAUUGAUAGCUCUUUCUUGAUUCCAUGAGUGGUGGUGCAUGGCCGUUCUUAGUUGGUGGAGUGAUUUGUCUGGUUGAUUCCGAUAACGAACGAGACCACGAGAGGGUGGUUGAGGUUGUAGAUGAGGAAUGAAAAUGGGGGAAGGGUUAAUUGUAACUGGCUUCGGUUAGUUCGGUUAAUUUGGAACCUUUGUUCCUUUCUAUACUUACCUACCCCGACCGAA